GUCUUUUUGGUAUUAAUUUAAGGUUUAACCUGCCCAAUGAAAAUUUGAAUGGCCGCGGUAUUUUGACUGUGCUAAGGUAGCAUAAUCAUUAGUUUUUUAAUUGAAAGCUGGAAUGAAGGGUUGGAUGAAAAAUUAACUGUCUCUAAUUAAUUUUUUUAGAAUUUUAUUUUUAAGUCAAAAAGCUUAAAUUAAUUUAAAAGACGAGAAGACCCUUUAGAGUUUAAUAUAUUUAAUUUAUUAAUAUUUAGAAUUUACUUUUCAUAAUUAAAAUGUAUUUAAUUGGGGUGAUUAAAAAAUUUAAUAAACUUUUUUUAUAAAUUUAUAUUAGUUAAUAAAUAAAUGAUCCAAAAAUUUUGAUUACAAGAUAAAUUACCUAAGGGAUAACAGCGUAAUUUUAUUAAAGAGUUCUAAUCGAAAAUAAAGUUUGCGA
rnacentral:rRNA from 1 species